rnacentral:tRNA from 1 species
GCCUGGGUAGCUCAGUCGGUUGGGCAUCUGACUUCGGCUCGGGUCAUGAUCUCAUGGUUCGUGGGUUCAAGCCCCGUGUCGGGCU